rnacentral:tRNA from 1 species
AUUAGUUUGGCAGAUUAGUGUGUUUGAUUUAGAAUCAUUUUAUAAAAUAUUAUUUUAGCUAAUA